rnacentral:miRNA from 1 species
UUCCGUAUUCUAUUAAAGGGG